rnacentral:lncRNA from 1 species
AUUGGAUCAAGUUUGACAGCCUUUCGAAUUCGAUUUGAUUCGGGCUCAAUUUGAACUCAAUUUGGAUCUAAUUUGAACUAAAUUGACCUUGACUCUUUAAGUUUAGGUUUUCUAGGCUUCUCUCUCCAAUUGGCCGAUCAGAAAGAGGAGGGGUGAUGGUUUUCUCACAUUCUUCUCUUGGUGUGCGCAUGAAAUAUAAGGAGAUGCAAGUUUGCACUUCUCCUUGUUUGUUGGGACUCUUCUUGAUAAGUAAUGAUUUGAAUUUGAUUCAAAUUAGAUCUUCUCAGAUAUUGGCAUGGAAUGAAAGGAAAUUUUGUGCGACAAAAAUUAUAGAAGGGGUUUUAUUUUGGCAUGAAAAAUAGAACACGUGUGUUUUGUGCGCUAACAACCUUCCACCCCUUUCCUCCUCCAUGCCAUUUCAUCCUUGUUCUCUCCUUUCCAUGCCCUUAUUCCACAUCAAAUAGAGAUUUGAGAGAGGCCUUAGAGAGAGAGAGAAAAAAAAAUCAAAUUUUUUUUUUGAUUUUUCUUGAUGGUUAGGAUUAAUUCUCAAGAUCUUGUACAAGACUGUUGCAAGUAAUAUAAAGAAAAGGUCCCCGAUCC